CUUUAUUUUAACCCAUCCCACAUUAAAAAAUUUUUAACUAACCACCACAUGUAAAAAAGAAUUAGAAUUGACUUAAUUAAAUUAAAAUAAUCAGAAAUGUAAUAUAAAGAUAAAGACUUUGUAAAAGUAAAAUUUAAAUUUUGUACCUUUUGUAUCAGGGAUAGUUAAAAAUAAGAACCAGAUUUCACCUCUCGAAAUAUAACUAAAUAACGGCAACUUAUCUUGAUGUUUAAUAAUCAUAUAGAAGUUGACGUUGGAUUCCAAACGAAUGCAAGUUUUAAAUAUCUAGUUAUUGGGGAAAUUAAUUUAAUUAAAUGAAAUUUGUAACCAAAACUAAAUUAGAUUAUAAAUUUCUUAAAACCUAGCUAGAUAAGUAUCUAGGUGAAAUAAAUAAGAAAAUUUCAACUUAACCUAAAGUAGAAUUAAAAGUUUUCAUAAAAAACAUGUGUUUAAACAUUAAAACAGUAAUCAAGAUUUAAACAUAAAUUAAUGACCCUACCCAAUCAACAUUCAUAGCCAUAAAAAUUAUAACCCUAUGACUACACUAAUAUACUAAUGAAAUUAUUUUUUAGAACUAGGCAAAAAAAUAUCCAACUGUUUAACAAAAACAUAGUUUAAGGAAAAAAUCUUAAAUAAAGCCUGCUCAAUGAGAAAUUAAAUAGCUGCAGUAAACUAACUGUACUAAGGUAGCAUAAUAAUUUGCUCUUCAAUUAAGAGCUGGAAUGAAUGGUUAAAUGAGAAAUUAACUUUUAACAUUAUAAUAAGUAAAACCUAACUUUUGAGUCAAAAGUCUCAAAUAAACUCAAUAGACAAGAAGACCCUUUAGAAUUUUACAAGACGUGUAAUUCAGCAAAUUAAACAAGCUUGUUAGAUUGGGGAGAUCACAAAAAUCAAACUCUUUUGUUAAUUAAAGACAGCCUAAACCUGAUAAAUUAAAUUAUCCAAAAAUGAAAAAUCAAAUUACCUAAGGGAUAACAGCGUAAAAUGCUUAAAGAGAUCUCAUCAAUAAGCUAAGUUACGACCUCGAUGUUGGAUUAAGAAUAUAGCAUAAAGCAGGAAUUAUGCAAAGUGGUCUGUUCGACCAAUAACUUCUUACAUGAUCUGAGUUCAGACCGGCGUAAGCCAGGUCAGUUUAUAUCUUUGAACCAAAAAUUAUUUUUAGUACGAAAGGACUUAAAUAAUUGAAAUUCAUCAUUAGUUAAGUUAGCAUAAUCAAUGCGCU
rnacentral:rRNA from 1 species